GGUGCUCCCAGCCUGGGUAAAUGAGGGUUUGUGUCAGGUUGGCAGCUAGUGUCAAACUUAUGCCAUAACUUCAAACAUGCACUCGCACAACAUGACAUUCCAAACCCAUGCUUGGGCCGUCCCUGUAAGGUAUGCACUGCAUUAGAACCCAGGUGCAGUGAGCUGAAGUUGUGGCCAUUGAGCAAGUCGUACGGCCGAUUUAUAUAGCCAACCUCAAUUAGUUGGGAUAAGGCUUAACAAUGAUUACUUAUUUGGAGUAUCCACAUUGCAACCCAUCACUUAAAUGGUCAUGUGCAUCUGAUCAUUGUGAUUUCGGCUUGGUGGGCCAUGAACAUGGGGUUAGACUGAUGGAUGGUUGUAAUAGAUGGACUCUCCAUGUGUUGAAUGCAGUUAGUUUGCCCUCUGGAGUAUCUUUGCCUAAAGAGAAAGAGACCUGCUAAACAGAACUUCUGAUUAUUUUGAUGCAACGACUGCUAUUUAGAGACUUCGUUGAGGUCAUGGUCAAUGCUAAUAUCUUUCUCUGCAUUAUUCAGUAAAAUAGUAAUUUCAUUAUUGUCUAUUCUAGCGAAACCACCCAUCAGAGCCAUCAUUAACCAUCAGUUGUUGAGUCAAAAUAAUUAUAUUUACAGUUGUGGUAUUGAGGGUGCAAGUACCAAUCCCAACAUGGCGGUGCUUUUCUAGAAUCAAACGUUUUUGUUUAGCAACCUGGACUAGCCAUCCCUUAAGAAGGUAUCAUCAGUCCCUAAUGAAAUGAAUGUAGUCAGUUGCUUGCCAAAGCCAGAAUCUUUACUUAAUCCAACGCCAUGUACAUGCUGUUUGAUGUGAUCUAUUUGUCUGCUAAUAUAUUGUUUGAUGGAAGAUUCAUCUGUCACUUUAUUUUGAUGUGAUCUAUUAUUAGUCUGCUCAUAAAUUGUUUGAUGGA